CCAGACUCCUACGGGAGGCAGCAGUGGGGAAUAUUGCACAAUGGGCGCAAGCCUGAUGCAGCCAUGCCGCGUGUGUGAAGAAGGCCUUCGGGUUGUAAAGCACUUUCAGCGGGGAGGAAGGCGUUAAGGUUAAUAACCUUGGCGAUUGACGUUACCCGCAGAAGAAGCACCGGCUAACUCCGUGCCAGCAGCCGCGGUAAUACGGAGGGUGCAAGC
rnacentral:rRNA from 1 species